GGGGACGUGGCUUGGUGGUAGAGUGCUUGCCUUGCAUGCAUGAGGUGCCCUGGGUUUGAUUCCCAGCACCA
rnacentral:tRNA from 1 species